rnacentral:rRNA from 1 species
UACAGAGGUCUCAAGCGUUGUUCGGAUUCAUUGGGCGUAAAGGGUGCGUAGGCGGCGCGGUAAGUCGGGUGUGAAAUUUCGAGGCUUAACUUCGAAACUGCACUCGAUACUGCCGUGCUUGAGGACUGGGGAGGAGACUGGAAUUUACGGUGUAGCGGUGAAAUGCGUAGAUAUCGUAAGGAAGACCAGUGGCGAAGGCGGGUCUCUGGACAGUUCCUGACGCUGAGGCACGAAGGCCAGGGGAGCAAACGGG